rnacentral:rRNA from 1 species
GACAGAGGUGCCGAGCGUUAGGCGGAAUCACUGGGCUUAAAGCGUGUGUAGGCGGACUUCUAAGUACCUUGUGAAAUCCCACGGCUCAACCGUGGAACUGCUUGGUAUACUGGUCGUCUUGAGCCACCUAGGGGCAACCGGAACAAACGGUGGAGCGGUGAAAUGCGUUGAUAUCGUAAGGAACACCCGUGGCGAAAGCGGCUCACUGGGUCUUCUCUGACGCUGAUGCACGAAAGCUAGGGGAGCAAACGGG